rnacentral:rRNA from 1 species
UGCCGGAAUGGCUCAUUAAAUCAGUUAUCGUUUAUUUGAUAUUACCUUACUACUUGGAUAACCGUGGUAAUUCUAGAGCUAAUACAUGCUGAAAACCCCAACUUCGGGAGGGAUGUAUUUAUUAGAUAAAAAACCAACGCCCUUCGGGGCUUCUUGGUGAUUCAUGAUAACUUCACGGAUCGCAUGGCCUUGCGCCGGCGACGGUUCAUUCAAAUUUCUGCCCUAUCAACUUUCGAUGGUAAGGUAUUGGCUUACCAUGGUUUCAACGGGUAACGGGGAAUUAGGGUUCGAUUCCGGAGAGGGAGCCUGAGAAACGGCUACCACAUCCAAGGAAGGCAGCAGGCGCGCAAAUUACCCAAUCCCGACACGGGGAGGUAGUGACAAUAAAUACUGAUACAGGGCUCUUUUGGGUCUUGUAAUUGGAAUGAGUACAAUUUAAACCUCUUAACGAGGAACAAUUGGAGGGCAAGUCUGGUGCCAGCAGCCGCGGUAAUUCCAGCUCCAAUAGCGUAUAUUAAAGUUGUUGCAGUUAAAAAGCUCGUAGUUGAAACUUGGGCCUGGCUGGCAGGUCCGCCUCACCGCGUGUACUUGUCCGGCCGGGCCUUUCCUUCUGGAGAACCUCAUGCCCUUCACUGGGUGUGUUGGGGAACCAGGACUUUUACUUUGAAAAAAUUAGAGUGUUCAAAGCAGGCCUUUGCUCGAAUACGUUAGCAUGGAAUAAUAGAAUAGGACGUGCGGUCCUAUUUUGUUGGUUUCUAAGACCGCCGUAAUGAUUACUAGGGACAGUCGGGGGCAUCAGAAUUCAAUUGUCAGAGGUGAAAUUCUUGGAUUUAUUGAAGACUAACUACUGCGAAAGCAUUUGCCAAGGAUGUUUUCAUUAUUCAGUGAACGAAAGUUAGGGGAUCGAAGACAAUCAGAUACCGUCGUAGUCUUAACCGAAAACUAUGCCGAC